rnacentral:rRNA from 1 species
UCGAGAAUCUUCCGCAAUGGACGCAAGUCCGACGGAGCGACGCCGCGUGCGGGACGAAGGCCCUUGGGUUGUAAACCGCUGUCAGAGGGGAUGAAAUCGUUGGGGGCUAUCCCCCUUCGUUGACAGAGCCUCAGAGGAAGCACGGGCUAAGUACGUGCCAGCAGCCGCGGUAACACGUACUGUGCGAACGUUAUUCGGAAUCACUGGGCUUAAAGGGUGCGUAGGCGGCUUCGCAAGUCAGGUGUGAAAUUUCACGGCUCAACCGUGAAACUGCGCUUGAAACUGCGUAGCUUGAGUGCCAUAGGGGUGUGCGGAACUUCCAGUGGAGCGGUGAAAUGUGUUGAUAUUGGAAGGAACACCGGAGGCGAAAGCGGCACACUGGGUGGUAACUGACGCUGAGGCACGAAAGCCAGGGUAGCGAACGGGAUUAGAUACCCGUGUAGUCC